GAUAAAGAAAGUAAGCAAGGGCAGACGGUGGAUGCCUUGGCUCUCGGAGGCGAUGAAGGACGUGAUAAGCUGCGAUAAGCUUGGGGUAGGUGCAAAUAACCUUUGAUCCCAAGAUUUCCGAAUGGGGCAACCCGGCUGGUAGAAGGCCAGUCAUUCCGUAAGGAAGGCGAACGUGGGGAACUGAAACAUCUAAGUACCCAUAGGAGAAGAAAACAAAAGUGAUUCCGCAAGUAGUGGCGAGCGAACGCGGAACAGCCCAAACCGAUGAUGUUUAGGCAUUGUCGGGGUAGUAGGACCACGUUGUGGCAAGAGAUUAAGGAAGUAGAACGUUUUGGAACAAACGGCCGUAGACGGUGAAAGCCCAGUAUACGACUCUUUAACGAAGCCUAGUGGAAUCCUGAGUAGCGCGGAGCACGAGAAAUUCUGUGUGAAUCAGCGGGGCCCAUCCCGUAAGGCUAAAUACUCCCGAGAGACCGAUAGCGAACCAGUACUGUGAAGGAAAGGUGAAAAGCACCUCGAACAGAGGAGUGAAAUAGUCCCUGAAACCGUCUGCCUACAAGCGGUCGGAGCAACGUAAGUUGUGACGGCGUGCCUUUUGCAUAAUGAACCUACGAGUUACUUUCUCCGGCAAGGUUAAGGGCUUCAGGCCCGGAGCCGAAGCGAAAGCGAGUCUUAAUAGGGCGUGAUAGUCGGAGUGAGUAGACGCGAAACCAAGUGAUCUACCCUUGGUCAGGAUGAAGGUUGGGUAACACCAACUGGAGGUCCGAAUGGGUAUACGUUGAAAAGUGUUCCAAUGAACUGAGGGUAGGGGUGAAAGGCUAAUCAAACUUGGAGAUAGCUCGUACUCCCCGAAAUGCAUUUAGGUGCAGCCUUUAUUUAGUAUAGCAUGAGGUAGAGCGACUGAUUGGAUGCGAGGGCUUCACCGCCUAUCAAGUCCAGAUAAACUCCGAAUGCGUGCUAUAUAUUGAUAAGGAGUGAGGGCGCGGGUGCUAAGGUCCGCGUCCGAGAGGAGAAGAAUCCAGACCAUCAGCUAAGGUCCCCAAAUAACAGUUAAGUUGAACUAACGAAGUCGGACUGCAGAGACAGCUAGGAUGUUGGCUUGGAAGCAGCCAUUCAUUUAAAGAGUGCGUAACAGCUCACUAGUCGAGGAGUCCGGCGUGGAUAAUACUCGGGCAUAAACUGUUUACCGAAGCUAUGGAUGUAGAAAUACAUGGUAGGGGAGCAUUCCAACGGCGUCGAAGGUGAAGGAUGACCUUUGCUGGAGCUUUUGGAAACGCAAAUGUAGGUAUAAGUAACGAUAAAGGAGGUGAGAAACCUCCUCGCCGAAAGACUAAGGUUUCCUGAUCAACGUUAAUCGGAUCAGGGUAAGUCGGGACCUAAGGUUAAGCCGAACGGCGAUACCGAUGGAAGAAUGGUUUAAUAUUCCCAUACUACUUUAUGGAGCGAUGUGGAGACGGAGAAGUGAAAGUCCUGCCAUCUGACGGAAUAGGUGGUUGAAGAGUGUAGAUGUAGAUUCCUGUAGGCAAAUCCGCAGGGAGAGUCGACCUUGAUAGUAUGCCGCGUGCUUGCACAAGGCAAAAUGGACGUAAUCAGGCUCCCAAGAAAAUCCGCUAAGCAUAUUCAUAAAGUACCCGUACCGUAAACGGACACACGUAGUUGGGUUGAAAAUACUGAGGCGCUCGAGUGAUUCACGGUUAAGGAACUAGGCAAAUUGACCCUGUAACUUCGGGAUAAAGGGUCCCUACUGAGAGGUAGGGCGCAGAGAAUAGGUCCAGGCAACUGUUUAACAAAAACACAUGGCUGUGCGAAAUAGAAAUAUGAAGUAUACAGCCUGACACCUGCCCGGUGCUGGAAGGUUAAGAGGAGAGCUCAUCGCAAGAGAAGGCUUGAAUUGAAGCCCCAGUAAACGGCGGCCGUAACUAUAACGGUCCUAAGGUAGCGAAAUUCCUUGUCGGGUAAGUUC
rnacentral:rRNA from 2 species